CACGUGGGGUGCGAGCGUUGUCCGGAAUUAUUGGGCGUAAAGAGCUCGUAGGCGGUGUGUCGCGUCGGCCGUGAAAACCUGCAGCUUAACUGUGGGCGUGCGGUCGAUACGGGCAGACUAGAGGCAGGUAGGGGAGAAUGGAAUUCCCGGUGUAGCGGUGAAAUGCGCAGAUAUCGGGAGGAACACCGGUGGCGAAGGCGGUUCUCUGGGCCUGACCUGACGCUGAGGAGCGAAAGCGUGGGGAGCGAACAGG
rnacentral:rRNA from 1 species